rnacentral:rRNA from 1 species
UGAACAGCUCAGGACGAACGCUGGCGGCGUGCCUAAUACAUGCAAGUCGUACGCUUCUUUUUCCACCGGAGCUUGCUCCACCGGAAAAAGAAGAGUGGCGAACGGGUGAGUAACACGUGGGUAACCUGCCCAUCAGAAGGGGAUAACACUUGGAAACAGGUGCUAAUACCGUAUAACAAUCGAAACCGCAUGGUUUUGAUUUGAAAGGCGCUUUCGGGUGUCGCUGAUGGAUGGACCCGCGGUGCAUUAGCUAGUUGGUGAGGUAACGGCUCACCAAGGCCACGAUGCAUAGCCGACCUGAGAGGGUGAUCGGCCACAUUGGGACUGAGACACGGCCCAAACUCCUACGGGAGGCAGCAGUAGGGAAUCUUCGGCAAUGGACGAAAGUCUGACCGAGCAACGCCGCGUGAGUGAAGAAGGUUUUCGGAUCGUAAAACUCUGUUGUUAGAGAAGAACAAGGAUGAGAGUAACUGUUCAUCCCUUGACGGUAUCUAACCAGAAAGCCACGGCUAACUACGUGCCAGCAGCCGCGGUAAUACGUAGGUGGCAAGCGUUGUCCGGAUUUAUUGGGCGUAAAGCGAGCGCAGGCGGUUUCUUAAGUCUGAUGUGAAAGCCCCCGGCUCAACCGGGGAGGGUCAUUGGAAACUGGGAGACUUGAGUGCAGAAGAGGAGAGUGGAAUUCCAUGUGUAGCGGUGAAAUGCGUAGAUAUAUGGAGGAACACCAGUGGCGAAGGCGGCUCUCUGGUCUGUAACUGACGCUGAGGCU